GAUGUUGUAUUUACUUCAAUCCAUGUGUGUUGGUGUGGAUUGGGAUGAAAUUUAGUUCAAGUUCCACUCCAAUCCACCUCAACACAUGUGGAUUGAUGUAAAUACGGCU
rnacentral:pre_miRNA from 1 species